ensembl:miRNA
AGCCGUGACUCUCCCCAGUGGUCUCCCGAGACGCCGUCAGCAUGAGCCUCUCGGCAGCGGUGGCUGAGGGGCCGCAGCGUGUUGGACUCACUGCCGCGCUUGGAGACGAGGAGGA